rnacentral:rRNA from 1 species
GAAUGCUGACAUAAGUAACGAUAAAGCGGGUGAAAAGCCCGCUCGCCGGAAGACCAAGGGUUCCUGUCCAACGUUAAUCGGGGCAGGGUGAGUCGACCCCUAAGGCGAGGCCGAAAGGCGUAGUCGAUGGGAAACGGGUUAAUAUUCCCGUACUUGGUGUUACUGCGAAGGGGGGACGGAGAAGGCUAUGUUGGCCGGGCGACGGUUGUCCCGGUUUAAGCGUG